rnacentral:rRNA from 1 species
CGUCGCCGCGGGAACACGAAGGGUGCAAGCGUUACUCGGAAUUACUGGGCGUAAAGCGUGCGUAGGUGGUGGUUUAAGUCCGUUGUGAAAGCCCUGGGCUCAACCUGGGAAUUGCAGUGGAUACUGGGUCACUAGAGUGUGGUAGAGGAUAGUGGAAUUUCCGGUGUAGCAGUGAAAUGCGUAGAGAUCGGAAGGAACAUCUGUGGCGAAGGCGACUAUCUGGGCCAACACUGACACUGAGGCACGAAAGCGUGGGGAGCAAACAGGAUUAGAUACCCCUGUAGUCCCUGUCUCUUAUACA